UCUUGUACCUGGAAGCAUUUUUUAAAAAAAAGCUUUUGUAAUAUAGUCCUGAUCAUCAGAUAUCUCUGAAACACAAAACACAAUACGUCAAGUCUGAAGUUUGGGUUGAGCAUCAACAGACACUCGAUGACAAUUUAUGGGUGGGACCAUGAUCUGGAUUCUCCUGGUGACCCUCACUUCCAGUAUCUGCCUGCCUGAGGAAUUUAAAAUAAAAGGAUCAGAGCAUGAAAAAUAAAUUGUGAAGACUGACAAGAGGUCCAAUACUCCCAAGGAACAAUUCGUGAUGAGCGCAGUAUUGACUGACAUCCGCCUUUGUUGCUGACAACCGCAAAGAUCAGUUUGAAUUCUCGCUGGCGUGACACAAGAUUGGAAGACAGAAUGUAAUCCCGAUCUUGUGGCAUCUUGCAAAAUGCCUCCUGAAAAUCCAGCAUAAAACAGAAGACACAAGAAUAGAAGAGCAGGGGGCAAAAGGGACAGAGGAACAUAAAACAAUCACUAUCACUGGACAGAACGUAUAAGUAAAACAAAUAGAACCAAAGGCUGACAGGUCUCCUGGACUUGAUGGCCUGCAUCCCAGGGGCUUGAAGGAAGUGGCUGUAGAGAUGGUGGAUGCACUGGUUGUGAUCUUCCGAAAUUCUCUAAAUUCUGGAAAGAUCCCAGUGGAUUAGUAGGCCGCAAAUGUAAUACCACUGUUCAAGAAAAGAGGGAGACAGAAAGUAGGAAACUGUAGGCCAGUUAGUCUAUGUCUGCCAUUGGGAAAAUGCGAGAAUCCAUUAUUAAGGAAGUAGUGGCAAGACAUUUAGAAAGUCAUAAUACAAUCGGGUAGAAUUAACAUGAUUUUGUGAAAGGGAAAUUAUGUUUGACAAAUUUAUUAGCAUUCUUUGAGGAU